UGAGGAAUCUUGCGCAAUGGGGGAAACCCUGACGCAGCAACGCCGCGUGAGUGAGGAAGGUCUUCGGAUCGUAAAGCUCUGUCGGGUGGAAAGAAAUGUAUGGGGUUAAUAGCCUUCAUACUUGACGGUACCACCAAAGGAAGCACCGGCUAACUCCGUGCCAGCAGCCGCGGUAAUACGGGGGGUGCAAGCGUUGUUCGGAAUUAUUGGGCGUAAAGAGCGUGUAGGCGGCUGAAUAAGUCAGAUGUGAAAUCCCUGGGCUUAACCCAGGAAGUGCAUUUGAAACUAUUCAGGUUGAGUAGGGGAGAGGAAAGGGGAAUUCCUGGUGUAGAGGUGAAAUUCGUAGAUAUCAGGAGGAACACCGGUGGCGAAGGCGACUUCCUGGCCCUAUACUGACGCUGAGACGCGAGAGCGUGGGUAGCAAACA
rnacentral:rRNA from 1 species